UACGUAGGUGGCAAGCGUUGUCCGGAAUUAUUGGGCGUAAAGCGCGCGCAGGCGGUCCUUUAAGUCUGAUGUGAAAGCCCACGGCUCAACCGUGGAGGGUCAUUGGAAACUGGGGGACUUGAGUGCAGAAGAGGAGAGUGGAAUUCCACGUGUAGCGGUGAAAUGCGUAGAGAUGUGGAGGAACACCAGUGGCGAAGGCGGCUCUUUGGUCUGUAACUGACGCUGAGGCGCGAAAGCGUGGGGAUCAAACAGG
rnacentral:rRNA from 1 species